CUCUAAUCUAAUUGAAAGAUUCAUUCCACGUUUGGGAAAUUGGAUUGGAAAUUUAAUCACACAAGGACAAUGUAACAUUGAUUGAGAGGAAGAGAAAUCCCAGUGAAAGUGGUGGCUUUGAUGAAUCUGUACAGCUAAAUUUUUUUGUCCCCGUACUGGAUACGAUGAAGUUGUUGGACUUUGUAGUUUAUUGGUAAGGAGAAACUGUGGCAUUGUCUGGAUCAAAGAAGAUAUGUGCAACAGAUAGCACACUCAUGAUUAUUAAUUUUGUAGGGUAAAGUAGAUGCUCUUGUUGCUCUCUUGGUAUUCAAAAGGAAAGAAGAAAAUUAGGGCUGUUUUUCACCAGAGGUUGCCUUCUCUCAAGCCAACCAUGUGUGUGUUAUUUUUUUCCUCACUUCAUCAAUCAUUUCAAAGGUGAAUGGAUGUGGCUGUUACAUUGAAGCUGAAAGGUGCAAGUUGUUGCCUAAGCUUGGUAGUGCAGAAGUGUGGGCUUUGUCUCAUAACAGCAUGAUAAUACUCAGAGUUCAAGCAAACAGUUUGCAAUAGGGAGGAUUGAAGUUGUAGUAGUUAUUGGUGUUGCUGGCAAGGACUAGACACACAGAAAGCAUUGUCAUUGAUUAUGAACAAUAUACUUCUUCCCUUGUAAUCAAAUCUAUUGGGAUGGACCAUGAUAAAUUUAGAGUGAUGUAGUUUGUAUUUUUCUUCUGUUUGUUGUCAAAUGCAUGCUAAUCAUGUAAUCACUUGAAAGAGUUGUAUAAUACUAUAAUCUAUCUUGGGACAGAUAUUUCCUACC